UCAGCUCUCUUUGCCUCUGGCUUAGAUCAAGUGUAGUAUCUGUUCUUGCCAGUUUAAUCGCUGGUAGUUCUGCAUUGCAGAACGUCAUGAUUAUUCCAAUAUUUGGACCUCGCGACUUGGCCUCUAUGCUUGCAUAUGCCUCGUUGCACAGUGUCAUUGGGCUUACACUACCCCCGAUCGAUGCGAACUCCU
rfam:Penicillium roqueforti FM164 genomic scaffold, ProqFM164S02